rnacentral:tRNA from 2 species
AGGAUAAUAGUUAAAUUUAUAACAUUUAAUUUGCUUUUAAAAAUUAAUUAUUAAUUUUAUCUUA